GACCAGAGAGCCUAGUGGUUAAAGGCAGCACAUCUAGCACAUGCUGAGGUCCCGGGUUCAAAUCCCGGUCUGGUCA
rnacentral:tRNA from 1 species